rnacentral:antisense_RNA from 1 species
CUUGACCGUGCCCAGCAGCAGCGGCGCCUCGCGGUCCUGGCCGUAGGUCGCCAGCAACGCCUGCGCCUC